UACGUAGGAUGCAAGCGUUGUCCGGAAUUACUGGGCGUAAAGGGCGCGCAGGCGGUUUAGCAAGUCUGCUGUGAAAUCUCUGGGCUUAACCCGGAGGGGUCGGUGGAAACUGCUAGACUAGAGUAUAGGAGAGGUCCGUGGAAUUCCCGGUGUAGUGGUGAAAUGCGUAGAGAUCGGGAGGAACACCAGUGGCGAAAGCGGCGGACUGGCCUAAAACUGACGCUGAGGCGCGAAGGCUAGGGGAGCAAACAGG
rnacentral:rRNA from 1 species